rnacentral:lncRNA from 1 species
UUUCCUUUUCUUCUUUGUCUUUCUCAUUUUUCUCCUUUCCUUCUUCAACUUUGAUUUUCCAAAUCAAACUCUACAAAACUUUUAGUAAGUGAAAAUCAAAUUCUUCUUUUAAGCUUGAAAGAUUUGGGCUUUCUUAAUCAAGGAAAACAAAGGUGAGUAAUUUUAAUUGCUUGAUUUUGCUGUAAAUUAGGGUUAAUGAUAUGAAAUUGUUGAUGAUUAUGUGUUUUGGAAUUGUUUAAUCAAGAGUAAACAUGCUUUUACUUGUGAUCUUGAAGCUGAAAUUUCUGGGCAGAUUUUUCACUUAUGAUUUCGUGACCUUAGAGGCUUUAUCUCGAAAAUUUUCAAACAUGAAAGUUGUAGGUAUAUGUCUUAAGAAUAUCUCUGUAAAAUGGUUUUGCAGAUUGUUGAGUGAGUAGGAACUUAUGAGGUUCGAUUUUGCUGCUACUCUGUUUUUGGUUCAGCAGGUGACCUGGUUUUUGUGCUGACAUUUUGAGGCAUUUAGAGGCUGAACCAAGCAGAGAGUUAAACAUGAAAGUUGUUCAUUUAUAUAUCUAGUAUAUGUCUGCAAAAUUUCAUAAUUUUUGGUUGAGUAUAACGUGAGAUAUGUUGAACUUAAUAUGGCCUUCCCGAAACUGUUUUAAGCAGAAAUCGGGCUUAGGAUUCAGAAAUUUAUUGCUAAUUUUGUGUUUCAUAACUUAAGCUAGAGAAGUCCAAAUUGAGUAAAAUUAGUGUCUAUAGAAACUUUAGAAUGUUAAAUUUAUAUCUGGAGAGUUUCAUCAAAAAAUUCAUUCGUUUGGUUGGUCAUUUAAUAGGAAACUUUUUGCUGUUCUGUUUAGAUGAAAAUUUGAGCAGCUGUAUAGAAAAUGCCAUAACUAUUUCUAUACCAAUGAUUUUGAAGUGAUUCUUUCUGCUAUGGUUUCUAUAAAAAUGGAAGUGUAAUUCUGAAAAAUAUGAGAUUUUUAUUAAUUGUACAUAAGUUUUGGUGUAAUUUCUAAGUCAGUACCUACAAACUGCCUUCAUCAACAAAUAUGUUGAUUUGUUGUCAUUCAUCUCAUGCAUCAUAUUAAUAUCUAGAAUAUAUGUUAUUUUGUUGAAAUGUGAUAUUUUGUUGAUAGUAAAUAUAUAUAUAUAUAUAUAUAUUUAUGCCUUGUGAUUGAAUUGUAUUUGUAUUGAAUAUGUGAAUAGGUUCAUCCAAAGGCAAGGAAGUGGUAAGAGAAAAAGAAUAGGAUUACUUUGUUAUCCUAUAACUUUUGGUAAGUAUUUAAUAGACUAAACUUUGUGUAUAUUGAGUAGGGACUGCUGUUUGAUUACUUGAUAAUUUCUUGGUUGACUGAGUUGAUAUUAGUUAUGUUUUUGGCUUGUUAUAAAGUGAAUUGAUUGUGAUGUGUUGUGAAGUGAAAUGAUUGUGAUUAAGGAUUGAUGACUUUUGUAUGGAUAUUGUGUGAUCGGGAAAGCUGAGCCGGGCGGAUAGCUACCCGAGUAUGUGAGAUGGCAAGACUGAGCCGGGCGGAUAGUCUUGUCAAGUGGUUACUGAAAUUUAAAAAAUGUGAGGAAAUGUAAGGAUGAGUCAUCUGAUCCUAAUUUGAUAGAAAUAAUGUGGAAUUGAAUUAUUUGACUUGGUUGAGUUUGAGAUUAUUUGCAUUACGUGAGAUGAAAUUAUAUGUUUAUGAGGAUAACUGAAAUGGUUGAUUUUGUGAUUGUUAGUUAAGUGUUGGUAUAAUUUUCUGUAUUGAUAAAGAUUUGAUAAUUCUAGCCUAAUAUACUAUAGUUUAGUAAAUUAAAUGCUUAUUGAGUCGCUAGCUCAUUCCUUAGCAAAUUUUUUUUUUCAGAUUAGUGCAGUUGUAGAUAGUCUUAGCUGUGCAUUGCUCUCUUUGCAUCAGUCAAUAUUAUCAGGUGGGCCAGAGGAGUUAUCUAAAGCAUUGGAGCAUUUUGGGAACUUGUGUGAAUUAAACUACUGUAUAAAUAUUUCUUAUAUAUAUUAAGUAUGUCAUGCCACUUAAAUUGUAUGAAUGUAUAUUGUAACUAAGUAGUAAAUUAUGUUUAUAAAGUUAUAUAUAUAUAUAUAUUGCUAUUCAAUGGAAAGUUUGAGUUGGGGUGUUACAAUGGAUCUCGGUGAUUCCCGCCUGAACCGAAUAACCGUACCGAAAAAAUACCAGAACCGAAAUAACCGAAAGUUUUUAUAACCAAAUUAAACCGAUCUGAAUUUUUUUACUAUUACAGUAUGGUAUUGGUUCUUUAGUAAAAACCGUACCAUAACCGUACCAGAAUCGAUCCGUCUUGUACUGAGCCGGACCAAACCGUAGAACUGAAAUUUUUACAUAUAUUUAUUAAUAAUUAUUUAUAUUAUAUAAAAAAUACAUAUUAAAAAUAAC